rnacentral:rRNA from 1 species
UACGUAGGGUGCGAGCGUUGUCCGGAAUUAUUGGGCGUAAAGAGCUUGUAGGCGGUUUUGUCGCGUCUGCUGUGAAAUUUCGGGGCGUCAACCCCGAACCUUGCAGUGGGUACGGGCAGGACUAGAGUGUGGUAGGGGAGACUGGAAGUUCCUGGUGUAGCGGUGGAAUGCGCAGGAUAUCAGGAGGAACACCGAUGGCGAAGGCAGAUCUCUGGGCCGUAACUGACGCUGGAGGAAGCGAAAGCGUGGGGAGCGAACAGGA